GGUAGACUCUAGUUCUGCUGUAAAAUCCUCUGCUACAGCAGCCAAUGUCCUUCAUCUGUCUGCCUCAAAAUUGAACAAAAUCCGCUACAACAUUAAAGACUGCCCAGUGCAUUUAAACCAAGAACACUUUCCAGUUCUAAAAACAAUUGGAAUAAGAAUAGCAAAAAAUGGGAAGAAAGAGACAAAGGUGCGCUGGCAGCCUUGCUCUGGCUG